UUUACAGAUGCAUUUGAACCGUGCAGCCGCUGGAUGUCUCUGGUGCUCCACUCUCAUGGAGCAGGACCCGCAUCUGGGAGAGAUAAAUGGGUCAGUGUGGGAGGCCAGCUGCUCACUGCUGCCCAGCUGACGGGGAUGAUGUGACACAGCUCUCCACACAAGGCAUUGGGAGACAGGGUAAGAAGUUGCUCUUCACAGAGUUCCUCCUUUGGCUCCUGUGGUGUAAAGCUACAUGUACCUCCUGCUACAUGGAAAAAUUGCAACAGAAUUAAAAUUCAAAAAGCCUGGAUUUAUUUGAAGUAACACCAACAGAGAUCUGGGAUGAUUCCAUUAACAGCACUGCAGUCAUGCUGUUUCCAAAAGGAUAUCUAAAGGCACCUGCAAGGUAUCAAAGCCAAAGGCAUCGUAUUUUUGGAAAAUGAGACUGAGGUUGUCAAGCAAGGAGCCAGCAGUAUGAGCUGUUUAAUUCAUGCUGAUUUCCCCAGAACUGUAUCCAAGGAGGAUGUCACACUUUUCUGUUCUCAAGUUCAACUUUAUCUCUGAGAGCAUCAGCAAGUUUCACCUCUUCUGAAAGAGCACUCUCCUGUGAUUUAUUUAGAAACUCCUGCUGCUCCCUGUUCUUGUGAAUCUUACAAGGGAAAACUACAGCAAUUUAAUACCUUUCCAAACUAUCCUUUGUUGAAUGUAUUGCCUGACAGUGGUUUUGA